GCUGGGAUGGCCGAGUAGUUAAGGCGAGUGAUUUGAAUUUCGGCAUUUACGUAAUCAUUAUUACGUAAGCACCACAUUAUCACUUGGUGUUUCACCGCGUAGGUUCAAAUCCUGCUCCCAGCG